CCAUUAAAUUGUCUAAAACAAUUCAAUACAUCUUUGUAUAAAGUCAUCAUGAUUUUCGAUACUUUUUUUGAAUCGCUUUGAGCUGCGCACUGGAUGUUUUGUGGUGACAAUAACGAGCAUGAUUUUUGUCAUAUUCAGCUUGCAUGUGCCCAUGGUAGCUGACUUUGAUAUGUCCAAUUGGAUUGCAAUCUUGGCGGCCAUCGAAAGGCUCUUCGAAUUCUUUUCGUUUCUCUUUGUGAGUUACGGUUUGUAUCAGUCGUCAGAUGCUGUUAAUUUGGCAAAUUCUUGUACCGCUUAGUUUUAUUUUCAAUGUUGGAUAUUAUUUCUAUCUAAGCGCUGUGCUGAACAGUCUUAAAUGGUUGAUUCUCUUGGUGUUAUCCUUGUAUUUAAUUACGUAUUCACUAAUGAUGAUCAAUUCGUAUUACGAUGAACUAGGCUACGUGGAGGAUUAUAUGAGAGAUUUGGCGUAUAUACAAUCCCGGAACUUGCAGAAAAAUCCGCAUAGCUAUAAUCCAUCGAUGAAAUCUGAAGAUCGAGUUGUAAAAAUCACUAGACACACUGCAACCUAAUGCAAAGCAACAGUAGCAACAGGCAAUGGCCAGAGGGCUGCGCAGUUGCUCUGUUGCAGGUAAUCGGAUAUGCCACAAAAGGCGAAAGUCUCUCGGCGCAUACCAUUUUUUCCACCAUUAGUUUAUUAUUGUUAUAAUUUCUUUAUUGUCAUUAU